UACGUAGGGGGCAAGCGUUGUCCGGAUUUACUGGGUGUAAAGGGAGCGUAGACGGUGAUGCAAGUCAGAAGUGAAAGCCCGCGGCUCAACUGCGGGACUGCUUUUGAAACUGUAUGACUAGAGUGCAGGAGAGGUAAGCGGAAUUCCUAGUGUAGCGGUGAAAUGCGUAGAUAUUAGGAGGAACACCAGUGGCGAAGGCGGCUUACUGGACUGUAACUGACGUUGAGGCUCGAAAGCGUGGGGAGCAAACAGG
rnacentral:rRNA from 1 species